CACUUCUAAGGAAGGCAGCAGGCGCGCAAAUUACCCAAUCCUGACUCAGGGAGGUAGUGACAAGAAAUAACAAUAAACCGGCUUAUGCCGGUUUAAUUGGAAUGAGUACAAUUUAAACAUCUUAACGAGGAACAAUUGGAGGGCAAGUCUGGUGCCAGCAGCCGCGGUAAUUCCAGCUCCAAUAGCGUAUACUAAAGUUGUUGCAGUUAAAAAGCUCGUAGUUGGAUUUCUGUGGGGACGGAGCGGCCGGCCGCAACUCGCGGUUCGAGCUAGCGCUUUCCCUACAUCCUGCCGCGAACCGUGCUACCAUUAAUUUGGUGGCGCCGGGGAUCGGCUCGAUUACUUUGAGAAAAAUAGAGUGUUCAAAGCAGGCCACACGCCUUGAAUAAGUUAGCAUGGAAUAAUAACUAAGGACUUCGGUUCUAUUUUGUUGGUGUUCGGGACUGAAGUAAUGAUUGAUAGGGACAGUUGGGGCGGUCUGUAUUCCAAAGCGAGAGGUGAAAUUCUUAGACCUUCGGAAGACAAACAGCUGCGAAAGCGUUCCGCAAGGAUGUUCCCUUUGAUCAAGAACGAAAGUUGGGGGAUCGAAGACGAUCAGAUACCGUCGUAGUCUCAACUAUAAACUAUACCAGCUAGGGAUCGGCCAACGUUAUUUUAUACCGACUUGGUCGGCACCUUAUGAGAAAUCAAAGCAUCUGGGUUCCGGGGGGAGUAUGGUCGCAAGGCUGGAACUUAAAGGAAUUGACGGAAUGACACCACAAGGCGUGGAGUAUGCGGCCUAAUUUGACUCAACACGGGGGAUUUUACUAGGUCGGGACAAUGUAAGAAUUGACAGAUUGAGAGCUCUUUCUCGAUCCAUUGCGUGGUGGUGCAUGGCCGCUCCUGGUUGGUGGAGUGAUUUGUCUGGUUAAUUCCGUUAACGAACGAGACCCCAGCCUGCUAAAUAGCGCGCGUGAGCUUUGCUCGCGGCGAGCUUCUUAGAGGGACUAUGAUGCGCGAUAGCACAUGGAAGUUUGGGGCAAUAACAGGUCUGUGAUGCCCUUAGAUGUUCUGGGCCGCACACGGGCUACACUGGCGCCUGCAACGAGCAUAUCAGCUGGCCCGAGAGGGUCUUGGCUAAUCUUUUGAACCGGCGCCGUGCUUGGGAUUGACCUUUGCAAUUGUUGGUCAUGCAACGAGGAAUGCCUUGUAAACGCGAGUCAUCAGCUCGCAUUGAAUACGUCCCUGCCCUUUGUACACACCGCCCGUCGCUCCUACCGAUGAAUGUUCCGAUGAAAUUUUCGGAGAGUGCCUGUGAACUUGGCUCUGCCUUGCGAACGGGAAGCUCAAAGUCACUUAAAUCUGAACAUUUCGAGG
rnacentral:rRNA from 1 species